UGAAGAGUUUGAUCAUGGCUCAGAUUGAACGCUGGCGGCAGGCCUAACACAUGCAAGUCGAGCGGAAACGAUCCUAGCUUGCUAGGAGGCGUCGAGCGGCGGACGGGUGAGUAACGCGUGAGAAUCUACCCAUGAGUGGGGGACAACCCGGGGAAACUCGGGCUAAUACCGCAUACGCCCUACGGGGUAAAGCAGGGGACCUUCGGGCCUUGCGCUGAUGGAUGAGCUCGCGUCGGAUUAGCUUGUUGGUGAGGUAAAGGCUCACCAAGGCGACGAUCCGUAGCUGGUCUGAGAGGAUGAUCAGCCACACCGGGACUGAGACACGGCCCGGACUCCUACGGGAGGCAGCAGUGGGGAAUUUUCCGCAAUGGGCGAAAGCCUGACGGAGCAAUACCGCGUGAGGGAGGAAGGCUCUUGGGUUGUAAACCUCUUUUCUUAGGGAAGAAAAAAAUGACGGUACCUAAGGAAUCAGCAUCGGCUAACUCCGUGCCAGCAGCCGCGGUAAUACGGAGGAUGCAAGCGUUAUCCGGAAUGAUUGGGCGUAAAGCGUCCGCAGGUGGCAUUUCAAGUCUGCGGUCAAAGGUCGAGGCUCAACCUCGAACAGGCCGUGGAAACUGAAAAGCUAGAGUGUGGUAGGGGCAGAGGGAAUUCCCAGUGUAGCGGUGAAAUGCGUAGAGAUUGGGAAGAACACCGGUGGCGAAAGCGCUCUGCUAGGCCAAGACUGACACUGAGGGACGAAAGCUAGGGGAGCGAAUGGGAUUAGAUACCCCAGUAGUCCUAGCCGUAAACGAUGGAUACUAGGUGUAGCUUGUAUCGACCCAAGCUGUGCCGUAGCUAACGCGUUAAGUAUCCCGCCUGGGGAGUACGCGCGCAAGCGUGAAACUCAAAGGAAUUGACGGGGGCCCGCACAAGCGG
rnacentral:rRNA from 1 species